AUUGAACGCUGGCGGCAUGCCUUACACAUGCAAGUCGAACGGCAGCACGGGAGCAAUCCUGGUGGCGAGUGGCGAACGGGUGAGUAAUAUAUCGGAACGUGCCCGGUCGUGGGGGAUAACGUAGCGAAAGCUACGCUAAUACCGCAUACGAUCUACGGAUGAAAGCGGGGGAUCGCAAGACCUCGCGCGAUUGGAGCGGCCGAUAUCAGAUUAGGUAGUUGGUGAGGUAAAGGCUCACCAAGCCGACGAUCUGUAGCUGGUCUGAGAGGACGACCAGCCACACUGGGACUGAGACACGGCCCAGACUCCUACGGGAGGCAGCAGUGGGGAAUUUUGGACAAUGGGCGCAAGCCUGAUCCAGCAAUGCCGCGUGCAGGAUGAAGGCUCGGUGUAAU
rnacentral:rRNA from 1 species